GGGGAUUUAGCUCAGUGGUAGAGCGCUUGCCUAGCAAGCACAAGGCCCUGGGUUCGGUUCCCAGCUCCU
rfam:Rattus norvegicus chromosome 17, whole genome shotgun sequence.